rnacentral:misc_RNA from 1 species
UCCAGUUUAUCACCGGCAGUCUCCCUAGAGUGCCCAGCUUUACCUGAUGGCAACUAAGGACAAAGGUUGCGCUCGUUGCGGGACUUAACCCAACACUUCACAGCACGAGCUGACGACAGCCAUGCAGCACCUGUGUAAUCGCUUCUUGCGAAGGGACCUACUUUCAUAGGUUUACAACUACAUGUCAAGCCUGGGUAAGGUUCUUCGCGUAGCCUCGAAUUAAACCACAUGCUCCACCGCUUGUGCGGGUCCCCGUCAAUUUCUUUGAGUUUCAGCCUUGCGGCCGUACUCCCCAGGUGGUGGAUUUAAUGCGUUAGCGUCGGCACCGGAGGGAUCGACACCCCCGACACCUAAUCCACAUCGUUUACGGCAAGGACUAC